GAUGAACGCUGGCGGCGUGCUUAACACAUGCAAGUCGAACGGUGAAGCUCCAGCUUGCUGGAGUGGAUCAGUGGCGAACGGGUGAGUAACACGUGAGCAACCUGCCCCUGACUCUGGGAUAACAGCCGGAAACGGCUGCUAAUACCGGAUAUGCACCAUGAACGCAUGUUCUGUGGUGGGAAAGAUUUUUCGGUUGGGGAUGUGCUCGCGGCCUAUCAGCUUGUUGGUGAGGUAAUGGCUCACCAAGGCGUCGACGGGUAGCCGGCCUGAGAGGGUGACCGGCCACACUGGGACUGAGACACGGCCCAGACUCCUACGGGAGGCAGCAGUGGGGAAUAUUGCACAAUGGGCGAAAGCCUGAUGCAGCAACGCCGCGUGAGGGAUGACGGCCUUCGGGUUGUAAACCUCUUUUAGCAGGGAAGAAGCGAGAGUGACGGUACCUGCAGAAAAAGCGCCGGCUAACUACGUG
rnacentral:rRNA from 1 species